UGUGUGUGUGUGUGUGUGUGUGUGUGUCCAUUCAGCGAGACAGUUGCGCUUCCCCUCAUACCCAGCGCAGGAGAAGGCCCUUCCCUAAGCUGCACCUGCUGUUUGCACGGCUCACCAGCCCAGCCGCCCGGCCCGGCGGCACGCUAUAAGAGCCAGAGUGGGCACAGCCAGGCCACUGGCCCCAUGGCACCCUGGGGAACACGAGCCAUGGCCUGCAGUGUGCAGGAGGACGCCUGCUGCCACAAGCCCUUCACAAACAUACGCCGAUGAACGCAAGGAUAGAGCAUGGAUGAUUACACUUGCAAUAGAAGGAGGGGGACGUGGAAGGGCCAGAGAACCUGUGCCUGCCUCGGACAUCAGGACGCCUCGGACCAGUGGUUUAGUUUGGACCGUGCUUCGUUUCGGAGGGACUUUCCAAUGAAGGAAGUGAUUGAGACUGUGUGAACUACAUGCGAGCGGUUCAAAAUGUCAUUGGCUGUUGGUUUGAAUAGCGGGGCAGGUGUGGGAAGUCCUCGGCUGUUCCAGAAGUCCCUGAAUGGCCCACCUGUUCUCUGCACGCUCCCUUCGGUUCUUGACCUGAUGACCAACUUUUUAUCCACCCCCCACCACCCCAGAGCCAUUCUAGAGGCAAACCCCCCGUUGCCUACAGCAACUGUGGCCCAGGGGCCGGCUGGCCUUCAUAAAUAAUGGUUCGUCCCAACAGACCCUACCUGACACGGACACUCCUUGUGAGCUGCUCGGUGUUGUUUAUUCAUGUAGACCCUACUCAUGACCCUCAACCCCUGCCCUGACAGAACAUUUUUGGGGAUAAGCAUAGCCGUGUAAACACCAGGAUUCAUUUACGUAGAUAUUCCUUAUACCUUACUACAUUCUUAUAUUUACUGUACAUUUAUUUUCCAUUUUAUUAUACAAGCUACAUGUAAUAUUAACGAGCAAAAAAUAGAUAAUUUUUGUUUCAUUUAAGUAAAUGUGCUUGCAUUAUGAACCGCUUUUAUCUGACCCAUAAAUUUUCAACAUUUUGGCCAAUUUAGCAAUUUAGCAGGUGAGGUAGACAGUUGAGAUCUUACGAUAAGCAGAAGGAGAACCAGUAAGACAGCCUCCAGUGAUAUGUGCUAGUCACACAAUGUUCAUUGAGAUACAGCUACUGUUUUUGAAAGUAAAUCAUUUGAACCUUUA